CCGGCUNGAGUGCGGUAGGGGAGACUGGAACUCCUGGUGUAGCGGUGGAAUGCGCAGAUAUCAGGAAGAACACCGGUGGCGAAGGCGGGUCUCUGGGCCGUUACUGACGCUGAGGAGCGAAAGCGUGGGGAGCGAACAGGAUUAGAUACCCUGGUAGUCCACGCCGUAAACGUUGGGUACUAGGUGUGGGGGGCCUUUUCCGGNUCUUCCGCGCCGUAGCUAACGCAUUAAGUGCCCCGCCUGGGGAGUGCGGCCGCAAGGCUAAAACUCAAAGGAAUUGACGGGGGCCCGCACAAGCGGCGGAGCAUGCGGAUUAAUUCGAUGCAACGCGAAGAACCUUACCAAGGCUUGACAUGUGCCGGUCGGCUCCGGAGACGGGGCUUCCUCCUUGUGGGGCCGGUUCACAGGUGGUGCAUGGUUGUCGUCAGCUCGUGUCGUGAGAUGUUGGGUUAAGUCCCGCAACGAGCGCGACCCUUGUCCCGUGUUGCCAGCACGUUGUGGUGGGGACUCGCGGGAGACUGCCGGGGUCAACUCGGAGGAAGGUGGGAUGACGUCAAAUCAUCAUGCCCCUUAUGUCUUGGGCUUCACGCAUGCUACAAUGGCCGGUACAGAGGGCUGCGAUACCGUGAGGUGGAGCGAAUCCCUUAAAGCCGGUCUCAGUUCGGAUCGGUGUCUGCA
rnacentral:rRNA from 1 species